CGUCAAGUCAUCAUGGCCCUUACGGCCUGGGCUACACACGUGCUACAAUGGUCGGUACAAAGGGUUGCCAAGCCGCGAGGUGGAGCUAAUCCCAUAAAAACCGAUCGUAGUCCGGAUCGCAGUCUGCAACUCGACUGCGUGAAGUCGGAAUCGCUAGUAAUCGUGAAUCAGAAUGUCACGGUGAAUACGUUCCCGGGCCUUU
rnacentral:rRNA from 1 species